CUUUAAUAAAUGAUCACAACAGAAACAACGAAGGAAGGUCAGCUUGCAGGGCUGGCGACGAGGUCAGGAUUGCAGCGGACGAAGAAGGAUGUUGUGUCCGAAAGCUCACAGGAAUCCAGGCAGAUGGUGGCACGGCAGAGGGGCGAGGAGCUGUACAAUGCUCACGGGAAUCCAGAGAGAUGGUGGCACGGCUGAGAGGCGAGGGCUGGAGUACAGCGGCAAACGGCGAGCAGGGGUAGAUGCAGUCUGAAGUAAGAGCAGAGGGAACAGAUGAGUACUGAGCUCGAGGAACAAACACUCACUAGAAUAUAACGAGGAAUAGCUGAGAGCCAAGUUACCACUAUGGUAAACGAAACGAUCUGGCGCCGAAUGCAGAUUCCAACCGGGAUAAAAAGCUGCAGCCGUAAUUAAGAGAAUCUGUCACAGCUGAGCGGCGGUGAUGAAGAACAGCCAGCAGCCGUGCAGGUAGGUCGCUCGCCCGGCCACGCCCCUUGACCUAGAUUCCGCUCCUCCGGCCAGACAGACACACAAACAGGGAAAAGAAAAGGGGGGAGAGGGAAAACAGACAAAACAAACACCCCCAGGACAGCUGUCCAUGACAUUUAUACCAAUGGUUAACGGUUAAAAAGUUAGGGGGUAGGGAACGGGUGUCCAACUGUCAUACAGGGUUUGGUUUGUAGGGUUUAAAAGACCUUAGGUGUGUCUCAAAUCGCGCACUUCUGUACUUAUACUAGCUAUUUGAGUACACUCAAUCUGUCACUCGUCGAAGUGUGGUAAAUGCAGCACACUACAUGUACCCGGAUGGUGCACUCAUAACGGUCAAAAAGUUGAGUGUGGAUCGAUGGACACUUUCCACCCUCAACGGUCGCCAUCUUGGCUACGUAGCGGAAGGGGCGGAGCUAACAAAAGGUGAAAAACUUUCGAUAAUGGCGGCCGAAUACGCGACAGCGAGACCCACGGAGUAUUACAAAUGGACACGGACGUGGCCGUCAAUGCUGCCAACUUGA
rnacentral:lncRNA from 1 species